rnacentral:rRNA from 1 species
CUUGUGGUGCUGGGGACUCACGGGAGACCGCCGGGGUCAACUCGGAGGAAGGUGGGGACGACGUCAAGUCAUCAUGCCCCUUAUGUCUUGGGCUGCACACGUGCUACAAUGGCCGGUACAAUGAGCUGCGAUACCGCGAGGUGGAGCGAAUCUCAAAAAGCCGGUCUCAGUUCGGAUUGGGGUCUGCAACUCGACCCCAUGAAGUCGGAGUCGCUAGUAAUCGCAGAUCAGCAUUGCUGCGGUGAAUACGUUCCCGGGCCUUGUACACAC